rnacentral:rRNA from 1 species
GACGAACGCUGGCGGCGCGCUUAACACAUGCAAGUGAGGUGAAGCGGCGGACGGGUGAGUAACACGUGAGUAACCUGCCUUAGACAUUGGGAUAGCCUCGGGAAACCGGGAUUAAUACCAAAUGGUGGGGGAUGGACUCGCGUCCUAUCAGCGUGUUGGUGGGGUAGUGGCCUACCAAGGCGACGACGGGUAGCCGGCCUGGGAGGUCGACCGGCCACAUUGGGACUGGGAUACGGCCCAAACUCCUACGGGAGGCAGCAGUGGGGAAUAUUGCACAAUGGGGGAAACCCUGAUGCAGCAACGCCGCGUGCGGGAUGACGGCCUUCGGGUUGUAAACCUCUUUCGCUAUCGAACGGGUAGGUGGAGAAGAAGCGCCGGCUAACUACGUGCCAGCAGCCGCGGUAAUUC